GAGACAGCAGUCGCCACGGUAACACGGAGGGUGCAAGCGUUAAUCGGAAUUACUGGGCGUAAAGCGCACGCAGGCGGUCUGACAAGUCAGAUGUGAAAUCCCCGGGCUUAACCUGGGAACUGCAUUUGAAACUGUCAGGCUGGAGUCUUGUAGAGGGGGGUGGAAUUCCAGGUGUAGCGGUGAAAUGCGUAGAGAUCUGGAGGAAUACCGGUGGCGAAGGCGGCCCCCUGGACAAAGACUGACGCUCAGGUGCGAAAGCGUGGGGAGCAAACAGGAUUAGAUACCCCUGUAGUCCCUGUCUCUUAUAC
rnacentral:rRNA from 1 species